UGGGGAAUUUUGGACAAUGGGCGCAAGCCUGAUCCAGCCAUUCCGCGUGCAGGAUGAAGGCCCUCGGGUUGUAAACUGCUUUUGUACGGAACGAAAAAGCCCUUUCUAAUACAGAGGGUCCAUGACGGUACCGUAAGAAUAAGCACCGGCUAACUACGUGCCAGCAGCCGCGGUAAUACGUAGGGUGCAAGCGUUAAUCGGAAUUACUGGGCGUAAAGCGUGCGCAGGCGGUGAUGUAAGACAGUUGUGAAAUCCCCGGGCUCAACCUGGGAACUGCAUCUGUGACUGCAUCGCUGGAGUGCGGCAGAGGGGGAUGGAAUUCCGCGUGUAGCAGUGAAAUGCGUAGAUAUGCGGAGGAACACCGAUGGCGAAGGCAAUCCCCUGGGCCUGCACUGACGCUCAUGCACGAAAGCGUGGGGAGCAAACA
rnacentral:rRNA from 1 species